rnacentral:tRNA from 2 species
GCCUGGGUGGUGGAAUUGGUAGACACCCGAGACUUAAAAUCUCGUGUCCGUAAGGGCGUGCCGGUUCGACCCCGGCUCCAGGCACCA